UCGCCUGUUUAACAAAAACAUCGCCUCUUGAAUCUUAUAAGAGGUCCAGCCUGCCCAGUGACUCUGUUCAACGGCCGCGGUAUCCUAACCGUGCGAAGGUAGCGUAAUCACUUGUUCUUUAAAUGUGGACUAGUAUGAAUGGCACCACGAAGGUUAUACUGUCUCCUUUUUCUAAUCAGUGAAACUAAUCUCCCCGUGAAGAAGCGGGGAUAAAACUAUAAGACGAGAAGACCCUAUGGAGCUUUAAACAACAUAGCACUUGCCACACACCAUUAAAAUUCCAGAAUCUUUAAUUCUCUGAGCAAUAUGACUAUAAGUUUUUGGUUGGGGUGACCGCGGAGCAUAACACAACCUCCAUGUUGAAAGAACCAUCUUCUAAGCUAAGAACUACAACUCUAAGCAUCAACAUAUUGACAUCCAUUGACCCAAUACACUUGAACAACGAACCAAGUUACCCUAGGGAUAACAGCGCAAUCCACUUCAAGAGCUCCUAUCGACAAGUGGGUUUACGACCUCGAUGUUGGAUCAGGGUUUCCCAGUGGUGCAGCCGCUACUAAAGGUUCGUUUGUUCAACGAUUAAAACCCUACGUGAUUGAGUUCAGACCGGA
rnacentral:rRNA from 1 species